rnacentral:rRNA from 1 species
GUCGAGAAUUUUUCACAAUGGGCGCAAGCCUGAUGGAGCGACGCCGCGUGGGGGAUGAAUGGCUUCGGCCCGUAAACCCCUGUCAUUCGCGAUCAAACCUGGCGAGUUAACAGCUGGCCGGGGUGAUAGUAGCGGAAGAGGAAGGGACGGCUAACUCUGUGCCAGCAGCCGCGGUAAUACAGAGGUCCCGAGCGUUGUUCGGAUUCACUGGGCGUAAAGGGUGCGUAGGUGGUGGGGUAAGUCGGAUGUGAAAUCUCGGAGCUCAACUCCGAAAAGGCAUUGGAAACUGCCCUGCUAGAGGGUCGGAGGGGGGACUGGAAUUCUCGGUGUAGCAGUGAAAUGCGUAGAUAUCGAGAGGAACACCAGUGGCGAAGGCGAGUCCCUGGACGACACCUGACACUGAGGCACGAAAGCUAGGGGAGCAAACAGGAUUAGAAACCCUUGUAGUCC